GGGACACUGUCAGGUGGGCAGUUUGACUGGGGCGGUCGCCUCCCAAAAGGUAACGGAGGCGCUCAAAGGUUCUCUCAGUACGGUCGGAAAUCGUACGUAGAGGGUAAAGGCAAAAGAGAGCUUGAUUGCAAGACAUACAGGUCGAGCAAGGAUGAAAAUCGGACUUAGUGAUCCGGUGGUUCUGCGUGGAAGGGCCAUCGCUCAACGGAUA
rnacentral:rRNA from 1 species